rnacentral:rRNA from 1 species
CAGCGGCGGACGGGUGAGUAACGCGUGAGCAACCUGCCUUUCACAGGGGGAUAACGCAUCGAAAGAUGUGCUAAUACCGCGUAAGACCACAGCAUCGCAUGAUGCAGGGGUCAAAGGAGCAAUCCGGUGAAAGAUGGGCUCGCGUCCGAUUAGCUAGUUGGUGAGACAACAGCCCACCAAGGCGACGAUCGGUAGCCGACCUGAGAGGGUGAUCGGCCACGUUGGAACUGAGAGACGGUCCAGACUCCUACGGGAGGCAGCAGUGGGGAAUAUUGGGCAAUGGGCGAAAGCCUGACCCAGCAACGCCGCGUGAGGGAAGAAGGGUUUCGGCUCGUAAACCUCUGUCCUAUGGGACGAAGAAGAUGACGGUACCAUAGGAGGAAGCCCCGGCUGACUACGUGCCAGCAGCCGCGGUAAUACGUAGGGGGCGAGCGUUGUCCGGAAUGAUUGGGCGUAAAGGACGCGUAGGCGGCCUAUUAAGUCUGGAGUGUAAGUCCUGCUUUCAAGGUGGGAAUUGCUUUGGAUACUGAUGGGCUGGAGUGCAGGAGAGGAAAGCGGAAUUACCGGUGUAGCGGUGAAAUGCGUAGAGAUCGGUAGGAACACCAGUGGCGAAGGCGGCUUUCUGGACUGAAACUGACGCUGAGGCGCGAAAGCGUGGGGAGCAAACAGGAUUAGAUACCCUGGUAGUCCACGCGGUAAACGAUGAAUGCUAGGUGUAGGAGGUAUCGACCCCUUCUGUGCCGGAGUCAACACAAUAAGCAUUCCG